UUGGAGGGCAAGUCUGGUGCCAGCAGCCGCGGUAAUUCCAGCUCCAAUAGCGUAUAUUAAAGUUGUUGCAGUUAAAAAGCUCGUAGUUGAAUUUCGGGGUCAGUAGGUUGGUCAUGCCACUGGUAUGUACUGGUCUCACUGAUUCCUCCUUCCUGAUGAGCCGUAAUGCCAUUAAUUUGGUGUUGCGAGGAAUCUGGACUGUUACUUUGAAAAAAUUAGAGUGUUUAAAGCAGGCUAACGCUUGGAUACAUUAGCAUGGAAUAAUGAAAUAGGACGUUCGAUCUUAUUUUGUUGGUUUCUAAGAUUGACGUAAUGAUUAAUAGGGAUAGUUGGGGGCAUUAGUAUACAAUUGUCAGAGGUGAAAUUCUUGGAUUUAUUGAAGACUAACUACUGCGAAAGCAUUUGCCAAGGAUGUUUUCAUUAAUCAAGAACGAAAGUUAGGGGAUCGAAGACGAUCAGAUACCGUCGUAGUCUUAACCAUAAACUAUGCCGACUAGGGAUCGGAUGAUGUUAAUUUUUUAAUGUCUCAUUCGGCGCCUUACGGGAAACCAAAGUGUUUGGGUUC
rnacentral:rRNA from 1 species